rnacentral:lncRNA from 1 species
AUCAUGUUAUUAACAAUAUUUUUGCUUUUAUUUCAUGUCAAAUAAUAUAAUUUUUAACUUUAGAAGAGUCACAAACAAUAUUUGUGUUUACCCUAAAAUGCUUUUUCCUCGUAUGCAUUUCAGGGUGUAGGGAUUCUCAUGGAAAAUACUUCCCAUGGCUGGCAUGGGAGUUGAAGAAUUGUUGCAUGUGCAGCCAAAGGUAAAAGAGGGAUUCAUGUGUUACCUGAAUUGCAUUUUAUCUGAUUUACAAUUUGAUUAUAUGUAUGUUUGUGCAGUCUGGUGCUUGUGUUGCUCAUUUCUAUAUGUGCUAAAUGGAGGAUUUCUUUUUCAUCCAAAACCCUAGUAUUGCAGGAGAUAGUUGCUUUAUGGGUCAGUCUUCUUACCAAAUCUUAACUCUAUGCUGACUUCUUUUUCUUUGAUUUCCUACUCUUUGUUCUGCAUAUGUGUUUUCAACCUAACUAUUUUCAUAGGGAUCAAUGGAAAUUAUGAUUUUUCAAAGAAUAUUGAAAGUAGAAGAAAAUUAAGCAUUUGUGAAAUAUGGAGGAGCAAAAUGAUUUCUUAGUUUUAGCACAUCAGUUUACAGAAGAUAUUGUAAUUUCACAUGAUGAAAAUGAAGAGGGGAACCCAGAUUUCCAAUGGAGGGACUUUUUGGGCUUGGGGGACUAGAAAUGCAAGAUAUAAGUGCAAAUAUUGGAGUUACCCAACCAUAAAUCUGUCCGAAAAACUCGCUUUAAGGGGAGGAUGUUCCUCAUACACAAGAUGGAUUUAGCAUGGGGAUAAUUAGAUCCUAGAUGUUUGUAAGACUCAAUUCUAUCCAGUUUGCGUCCUUUUGGGGCUCCAUCAUGUGGGUUCUUUCCCCUUUUCGGUCAUCUUAAACUGGCUCUGAUGGUUGUUCGAUUGGUAACUCCGAAAGAUCAGAAUAGCUGUAUCUGCUAAGAUAAUGGAUGAAAUGAUAUGCUAACUUGGCAACUCGAAAAUAAUGGCCCGUGUCUUCCUCCUAUUAGGGUAUAUUGAAUUCUAAUUCAAGAAAAUUUUGCAGUAUUCAGGGUGGAAGCAGAUCACUUAAUCUUUUGUAGUAGGGAUUUAAGAGGUUUAGGCAGAUGCUUGAAGGUUUAUUCAUACUUAUUGUGAAGCAGAUCAUCUGGAAAACUGGGGAGUUAUCAUGCUGAAGACAUUUUUCUCCUUAUUGAAGUUUUCCAAACAAACCCUUCCAUCUAGGGUGAAUUAUUGGUUUCAUUUGGCUGAGUAGGAGAUUUCAGAUAGAAGCCAUCAAUCCUGGUCCUCAAGGGUGGAGUGGUAUGAUUACCAUCUAUGUAAAGACUUUGAAAUUUUUUUGUCAUUAACAAGCAUUUGUUGAUAAAUUUGCUUACCAUCUUCCACAAAUGAAAUUAUGGUUUUGAGUGUAUAAUUAUAACUGCUUAUGAUGAAAGGGAAAAACACCGACAAAGGACUCACUGGUUUUUUCUGCACAAAUGGGAGCAAUCUGUUAUUCUGGUUUCUUAUUACACACAAGCAAAACGAUCAUUUAUAGUUGUAAAUAGAGAGCUCUUCUUCUUACCUAGACUGAAAGUGACGGAGGUUUACUAUUUUAAGUUCAGUGACAUGUCCACAUUUUCUUCCUUUGCCUUACGAAGUGUUUCAAAUCCCAUUUCUUUCCAGACAUUCUUUAGCCUUUGAGCAACCGAAGAGAUAAGGGGACGCUUUUGGGGGUUCUCUUCUGUGCACAUCAUCCCUGCAUCGAGCAUGUGGAUACAGCAUUGCUCAAGCUUAUGUAAAGCACCACUCCCCUCUUCCAAAUAUGCUUCGUGCUUCAGUGAGAUGUCUACAAUAUCCAAAACUUGAUUUGGAAAAGCAGAACACACCCAUUUCCUUAGAUCAAGUCCAUCUGAAAACAUUUCAUUCGUUGGUCUCUUCCGUGUUAUCAUCUCUAACAUCAUCACUCCAAAACUGUAUACAUCUCCUCUUGUUGAGACAUCGAUCCCCUGCCCAUAUUCUGUGUACAAGCAAUAGGAACUAUUAGCUGAAUCACUGUACUUUUAUUUAUAUCCCUUCAAAUUAGGAUAGUCUGUUUAAAGAAAGAGACAUGGAUAGAUGCAGUUGGUUCAUAUUAACUAUCUGAAUAUCACAAGAAUGCAAGCAUCCUUCUUUUUCAUUUAGAUGUAAAUGCUUCUCAUUGGAAAAGCGAUUAGGAAACUAUCUGAAUAUCACUGUACUUAAAGAAAAGCGGGAGAAUAACCAACAAGACAUACCAUGUUGUUAAACAAAUUUAUCAUAAUGGUAUAUGAGGAAACACACAAAACCCUAUUUUUUCUUCUCGACUUCUAUCCUAUUAUUAACAGUUAGUUCUCUAGAAUAUAUGACCAUUGGGUAGGCAGUCAAAUGAAUGAAAACUAGACUAGUUUGAAGUUCAUGUGAGAUGAAAGAUUGGCAUUCAUGAUUAAAAGUAAUUAUCUAGUCUGAUAACUUAUCAUUUACUUCUCAGAUUUGAAGGUAGGUCGCUAACUUUUCCAAGAAGAUUCAAAGGGAUUAUGAAGCAUAGGAUUGAAGAUUUAUAUAAGGUAAUCAAAUGCAUACCUGGGGGGAUAUACCCGACAGAUCCUCGUAGAAAAGCAGUUGUGGUAGUAACAUGUCCUCUUGGUUUGUCACCUGAAAUGAGCUUUCCAAUACCAGAAUCUCCUACAUGAGCCACCAUAUCAUUGUCCAAAAGAACAUUUUGUGGUUUCAGGUCACAGUGUACAACUUGAACAGGACAACCCUCAUGAAGAUACUCCAAGCC